GCUUAGAGUUUGAUCCUGGCUCAGGAUGAACGCUGGCGGUAUGCUUAACACAUGCAAGUCGAACGGAGUACUUCGGUACUUAGUGGCGGACGGGUGAGUAACGCGUGAGAAUCUGCCUUCAGGAUGGGGAUAACAGUGGGAAACCAUUGCUAAUACCCAAUGAGCCGAGAGGUAAAAAAUUUAUUGCCUGAAGAGGAGCUCGCGUCCGAUUAGUUAGUUGGUGGGGUAAAGGCUUACCAAGACGGCGAUCGGUAGCUGGUCUGAGAGGAUGAGCAGCCACACUGGGACUGAGACACGGCCCAGACUCCUACGGGAGGCAGCAGUGGGGAAUUUUCCGCAAUGGGCGCAAGCCUGACGGAGCAAUACCGCGUGAGGGAGGAAGGCCUUUGGGUUGUAAACCUCUUUUCUUAAGGAAGAAGAUCUGACGGUACUUAAGGAAUCAGCAUCGGCUAACUCCGUGCCAGCAGCCGCGGUAAUACGGAGGAUGCAAGCGUUAUCCGGAAUUAUUGGGCGUAAAGCGUCCGCAGGCGGCACUAUAAGUCUGCUGUCAAAGACCGCAGCUCAACUGCGGAAAGGCAGUGGAAACUGUAGAGCUAGAGUACGGUAGGGGUAGAGGGAAUUCCCAGUGUAGCGGUGAAAUGCGUAGAGAUUGGGAAGAACACCAGUGGCGAAAGCGCUCUACUGGGCCGUAACUGACGCUCAGGGACGAAAGCUAGGGGAGCGAAAGGGAUUAGAUACCCCUGUAGUCCUAGCUGUAAACGAUGGAUACUAGGCGUAGCUUGUAUCGACCCGAGCUGUGCCGAAGCUAACGCGUUAAGUAUCCCGCCUGGGGAGUACGCACGCAAGUGUGAAACUC
rnacentral:rRNA from 1 species